GAGCUACACCUAAGGCUUUGUUCGGUUGUUCCGUUCCCGGUCGAGGUGCGGUGGCAAACCUCGUGGAUCAGCCCGCAUGGAAACAAGCCCGGUCCAUGCGGGAACAUCUAUUCGUUUAGCCCUAGGUUUCUACCCCGGUCCAAUCCCAGUGAAAUCCCUUCACCCUGCCCCGGUAUUCGACCCACGACUCCUGACUCGUGGAAUUUUUCCUCGUCAGUCGCAGGCCUGCAGCAGGUGGGGAGGCGAGACACGAGCGCCAGGCGACGUAACCGCCGGUUACGUCGCCUGGCGCUCGUGUCUCGCCUCCCCACCUGUUGCGGCGGUUACGUCGCCUGGCGCUCGUGUCUCGCCUCCCCACCUGCUGCGGGCCUGCGACUAACGAGGACAAAUUCCACGAGUCAGGAGUCGUGGGUCGAAUACCGGGGCAGGGUGAAGGGUUUCACUGGGAUUGGACCGAGGUAGAAACCUACGAGAGCUAAACGAAUAGAUGUUUCCGCAUGGACCGGGCUUGUUUCCAUGCGGGCUGAUCCACGAGGUUUGCCACUACACUCUGGCCGUGAAUGGAACAACCAAACAAAGCCUAAAGGGGUUCUCACUGCGAUGGGUGUACCAUUGAUCACGAUUUAUCAUGUGAAGAGUCAUUUGCAGAAAUAUCGCCUUGCAAGUUGCAAAGUAUAUACCGGAGUCUCCCGCUGAAGUCAUGUCAUGUAGCAUAGCCGGUAUGCUAGCUGGUGCCUGGUCCUUAUGAAUUACACAGUUGACAAAAUAUUCUGAAAUGUGCUCUGAGGAUUGCAAAUCAACGAUGCACUAAAGAUGCAAAUGAUAUUAUGCUAUGGGAGCUGGCUGGUGCCAACGGGCUGUCGCUGCCAGAUGUUGCUGCCUAAGUGCUACUGUGUUUCAUGUGUGUUUGUAUGUUUGGGACUGUUUGUUUGUUUAUGUUUCUCUCCUCUUGUAAACCCUCUGUAAUUCUUAUGUGGCCUCUUGGCUAUGUCUUUUGUGUUUUUGCUUCUCUUAUUAAUACAAAAAUAUGCAA